rnacentral:misc_RNA from 1 species
AAUUUUUUUUUUCCUUUUUAAUUUUUAUUUGUCUCUUUAUAUACUUAUCCCAUAAUUAAAUAAUUAGAAUUUAAAUUUGUUAAUGAUAUCAUGCUUACAUGGGCCUUAUGAUGUCAUAAACCUUUAUUUAAAUUAUUCUUUUCUUUUCUAUUUCUUUUUUUUCCAUAACCUAUUCACUUAAAAUCUAUUUUUCAUAAAUUUAAUUUCUAACAUAUUAAUGGGCAUUUAGGCUAAAAGUCACCUCUA